rnacentral:misc_RNA from 1 species
GUGAGUCAUCGAAUCUUUGAACGCACAUUGCGCCCGCCAGUAUUCUGGCGGGCAUGCCUGUUCGAGCGUCAUUUCAACCCUCAAGUCCCCUGUGGACUUGGUGUUGGGGACCGGCGGAACCACCGGCUGUUUCAUCACAGUUGGUCCGCCGCCCCCUAAAUGACUUGGCGGCCUCGUCGCGGCCCUCCUCUGCGUAGUAGCACACACCUCGCAACAGGAGCCCGGCGGAUGGCCACUGCCGUAAAACCCCCCCAACUUCUUUUUCAGAGUUGACCUCGAAUCAGGUAGGAAUACCCGCUGAACUUAAGCAUAUCAAUAAGCGGAGGA